rnacentral:rRNA from 1 species
GGGAACCUCACCCGGCCCGGACACCGCGAGGAUUGACAGACUGAGAGCUCUUUCUCGAUUCGGUGGGUGGUGGUGCAUGGCCGUUCUUAGUUGGUGGAGCGAUCUGUCUGGUUAAUUCCGAUAACGAACGAGACCCCAACCUGCUAACUAGCCCUCGGGUCCUGCUUCUGUUGGGCCCGACGGAAUGAUUCGCUUCUUAGAGGGACUCGCGGGGCCUAGCCGCACGAAGGGGGGCGAUAA